GAUGAACGCUGGCGGCGUGCCUAAUACAUGCAAGUCGAACGCAUAGCGAAAUGUUCUUUCACCUUUCAAGUGAGUGGCGAACGGUUGAGUAACACGUGGACAACCUCCCUCAAUUCUUGGGUUAACAUUUGGAAACAGAUGCUGUUACCGAAUAUAACUUAUUCUCGCAUGACACAAAGUUAAAAGGCGCUUCCGCGUCUCCUAGAGAUGGUUCCGCGGUGCAUUAGUUAGUUGGUGGGGUAAAGGCCUACCAAGACAAUGAUGCAUAGCCGAGUUGAGAGGCUGAUCGGCCACAUUGGAACUGAGACACGGCCCAAACUCCUACGGGAGGCUGCAGUAGGGAAUAUUCCACAAUGGGCGAAAGCCUGAUGGAGCAACGCCGCGUGUGUGAUGAAGGCUUUCGGGUCGUAAAGCACUGUUGUAUGGGAAGAACAGCUAGAAUAGGAAAUGAUUUUAGUUUGACGGUACCAUAAGAGAAAGGGACGGCUAAAUACGUG
rnacentral:rRNA from 1 species